CCUCAGAAAUCUUUCGGUGUUCACAGGGAGGGGCAGCCGGGAUACCAGGUCAUGUCCCCGCUUCCCCUGCCUGCAGGAAGCCGAGUGCUUUGCUCAGGUGCUGGGGUUACGGCACACCCAGUACCUGAGCAGGCAGGCAAGCGGGAGAGAGGAGUCCAGCAGAUCAAUGGCUGCGCUAUGGGGUGGCUAAGGCGCCGCACGCUCAGCACACCAGCCCCAGGGCAGCCCACCAGGAAACUUCCCGGUGGGCACCCCCAGCAGGUUGGCGCCCCAAGUGAAUG